rnacentral:hammerhead_ribozyme from 1 species
AUCCAGCUGACUAGUCCCAAAUAGGGCGAAACGCGCGUCAAUCUGGAU